CUUUGACACCUUCUACAUGAUCUGAAAACAAAAAUCUCAGAGGCUAUGGGAGAAGUGCAUGCCAGCAGCCUUCAGCCCCAUAUCCCUUCUGGAUGAAAAACUGUAAGCCACGUAGUCAUAGCAACUGACUAUGACAUAGUCACACGACCAAAGGCCACAAUUGUCCUCAAAAUUGACUGACUCAUUUCCUCCAAGUGAGGCUGUUCAACUAUUCAAAAUGUCAUUGUGAGGAAGAUUAUCAAUUGCUACAUUUCCUUGAAAAUGCUUUCUUGGUAUUCCAGGGAAACAGCAGUACUUCCCUAGUUGCUAAGGCUACAAGAGACCUUUACCCUAAAUACCAUCUUAGUAUUUUAGCAACGUGGAUUCUCUUAUAUAGUGUAGUCUUUAUUUAGCACUAUAAUGAAGUACUAGCUUCUCUCAAAGGGCCUCAAAAUCCAAUCAUACUAAACCAACAAAUCCUACUGCCAAAACGGUUUUAAAUUUCUGUGUCUACUCUGAUGCUCCGAGUAAGGACUGAAUGCAGGCAGACAAUGCUUCCUGUGAUAAUCCUUGGAACACUGCCCUCUGGAGGAAUAAAAAAAGAAACAUCAGCCUGUGGCAUUCACAAAACGGAAAAAAAGGAAAAUCCUAGGCUGUGAGCGCAACAAACAAUCUUUGCUUGCCCUCAACGUUGGAUACAUUUAUUACUGGUACUAUUCCUCCCUGAGUUUUCUACUCCCAUGUAACCUUUCUAGACCAACGCAUAGUUCCGUGAUGUGCAGGCAUCUCUAGAAACACUCGUGUGACCCUUCAAUAAAUAUUUAUUCUACUAGCA